ensembl:lncRNA RNF217-AS1 RNF217 antisense RNA 1 (head to head)
GCGGGCGGCGAGAGCUGCUCCGAGGCGGGGGCCUCGGGCAGGUCGCUCUCCACGCAGUACACGGAGCAGAAGACUUGUCUCUUGGCGAGGGACGGGCGCCGCUGACCCAGCACGUCCAGGACCAGUCCGUCGGCGGCCCCCACGCGGGUCCUGGGCUCCAGCUCUUCGCCGGGGGGCGCCUCCUGCUGUUCAUCCCCUCCCUCUUUUCGAUCCCCAGCUUCCUCCUCUUCCUCCUCCAGCUCCAACUGCAGUGGCAAGGUCUGGGGAUUGAGAGGCCCGGCAUGACUAAGAGAUAUCGUGAAAUUACAACUCAACAAUGAAUUACAGCACAGGCUUUUCACAACUAAGAGACUGUCCAUCAUGGUGCCAGUUUUUCUCAAAAUGGCAUGUGUGCAUGAAAUUCUACAGGCAUAUGGGGUCGUGAUCUGCUAAUCUCCAGUUAUUAUAACUACUUUGAAAAGGGACUUUCCAGCUAUCAGUACACUAUCUCACAAUUACCCUUGAACCAGAAGACAAUGAAUGAUUUGCUAAACAGAUGGCAUAGUCUAUGACAUGCAUCAUAUGUGUGAGCAAUCACAGAAGACUCCUUCCUGUUGCCUUGUGAAGAAGGCUCCUGCUUCCCCUUCACCUUCUGCGCGAUUGUAAGUUUCCUGAGGCCUCCUAGCCAUGCUUCUUGUUCACUCUGCGGAACUGUCCUGAGCUGAAAAGAAUAUGAGAAAUCGGAUUUUACGACAUACCAAAUUAUGAUUGUAUGUCCCAGAAAUUCACUUAGAAGCUAAUAGAAAAAAUGAAACCAAAGCCUUUUGGUGAACUAUGACUUGGAAUCCUCCAGGCUUUGGCUUCCAUCACACUCCAUGAACUUGAUGCACAUAAUUUAAUGUAGGCCUCCACCCAAUAUCAUCAGUUCUCUUGCAUGUUGAACCCCCAGUUUCCUGGAUCUGACCAACAUGACCUUAAUGUUCCUAUCAGCUCGACUAAACUUUAAAGAGAUUUCUUCCUCAAUAUGGGCCUCUAACUUCCCUUUUCUUAGAGCAUUUACUUUAGAAAUUUUGCAAUUAUCAAUUUUUUCUCCCUAUUUUUGAGAUGUAAAUUUUCUACAACUCAGGAAUGUCUUUCUCAAGGACAUGAGAGAUAUCCCUUUGAAAUGUAAUUGUGAAAAAUGAUAGCACCUCUAUUUCAAUCUGUGUAGGAGAGUAGGAGCCUAACUCAGAAACUGCUGAUGCUGACCUGUGCCUCAAGAGGCUUGCCUGUUUGGGGGAGAAGCCUGAUGUGGAGACCAUUGGAAGAGGCUAAGGCAAGCUACCUGUUCCUUAAACAGAUUGUUCAACCUAUUCCAGUUUUUGGUCCUCUACCUCACACAUUCCUUCCACUUCCAAAUCCUGUUGUUAGAGGAUGUUACCUGCCAAAUUUGUACUUUGGAAUCCUCCUCUGCAUGUUCAUAAGUUUUUGGGUUUUCCUUUCUGCUCACUUGCCAAUCCUCUAUCUACUUUCAAUCUUCUAAAAAUUGCUGAAACUUCUUGUCUCACUGUUAAUUCUUUAACAUCAAUUUGUUGGUAUUUUAGGAUAAAAUAUAAGUAAGUGUAUAUCUUCAACCAGCUAUCAUUAAAUGGAAAAUUUCUGGUAUUAUUUUAUACUUUCAUCUAUUUUCCUGUAGACAUUUAAACAAGAAGUCUCUGUGUGUAUGUGCACAUAUUCAAUGUUUUAACUACAAAAUAUAAAUUUCUUCUUGUAAAACAGACAACAUAAGGGUUUUCUUGAAGUCCCCUUUUAAAUAUAACAGGAAUUCCUCAGUGUGAUCUGUGCCAUGUAUAUCAGCAGGUUAUUUAAUUCCUGUAUGCUUUGUAAUUUUCAGCUCAAAAUUAUGACUUUUGACACAAACCACAAGUCUCAAUGUCACAAAAUAAGGUAGAAAACCACAAACAAGCUGGGCAUGGUGGCUCAUGCCAUAUAAUCCCAGCACUUUGGGGGGGCCGAGGCAGGCGGAUCACAAGGUCAGGAGAUCAAGACCAUCCUGGCU